UUGAGCCGUGUGAUGGGAAACUAUCACGCACGGUUCUUAGGGGGCUCGGGGAUAGAGAUAUCCCCAGGCUACCCGAU
rnacentral:ncRNA from 1 species